GUCAGUUUGCUAUUGGAAGCAGUCUUUCUAAAAGCAAAAUCACUGCAGCAUCUUGGGAGGUUUAAUGAAGCUGCUCAAUCUUGCAAAGUUAUUCUGGACAUUGUUGAAUCUUCAUUACCAGAAGGCUUGCCUGAAAACUUUGCUGCUGACUGUAAAUUGCUGGAGACUCUAAAAAAGGCUGUUGAGUUGCUUCCAGAACUAUGGAAACUUGCCGAUUGCCCUCGUGAAGCAAUCCUGUCAUACCGGCGGGCUCUCCUCCAUCAUUGGAAUCUUGAUGCUGAAACAACAGCACGGAUUCAAAAAUAUUUUGUCAUUUUUCUUCUAUAUAGUGGAGGUGAAGCAUGCCCCCCAAAUCUUCGCUCUCAGAUGGACAGUUCGUUUGUACCUAGAAACAAUAUAGAAGAGGC
rnacentral:misc_RNA from 1 species